GAUGAAGAACGCAGCGAAAUGCGAUAAGUAAUGUGAAUUGCAGAAUUCAGUGAAUCAUCGAAUCUUUGAACGCACAUUGCGCCCCCUGGUAUUCCGGGGGGCAUGUCUGUCCGAGCGUCAUUACAACCCUCAAGCUCAGCUUGGUAUUGGGCCCCGCCGACCCGGCGGGCCCUAAAGUCAGUGGCGGUGCCGUCCGGCUCCGAGCGUAGUAAUUCUUCUCGCUCUGGAGGUCCGGUCGUGUGCUCGCCAGCAACCCCCAAUUUUUUUCAGGUUGACCUCGGAUCAGGUAGGGAUACCCGCUGAACUUAAGCAUAUCAAUAAGCGGAGGA
rnacentral:misc_RNA from 1 species